rnacentral:rRNA from 1 species
GGUUAAGCGACUAAGCGUACACGGUGGAUGCCCUGGCAGUCAGAGGCGAUGAAGGACGUGCUAAUCUGCGAUAAGCGUCGGUGAGGUGAUAUGAACCGUUAUAACCGGCGAUUUCCGAAUGGGGAAACCCAGUGUGUUUCGACACACUAUCAUUAACUGAAUCCAUAGGUUAAUGAGGCGAACCGGGGGAACUGAAACAUCUAAGUACCCCGAGGAAAAGAAAUCAACCGAGAUUCCCCCAGUAGCGGCGAGCGAACGGGGAGGAGCCCAGAGCCUGAAUCAG